CCUACGGGAGGCAGCAGUGGGGAAUAUUGGGCAAUGGGCGCAAGCCUGACCCAGCAACGCCGCGUGAAGGAAGAAGGCUUUCGGGUUGUAAACUUCUUUUCUGAGGGACGAAGAAAGUGACGGUACCUCAGGAAUAAGCCUCGUCUAACUACGUGCCAGCAGCCGCGGUAAUACGUAGGUGGCAAGCGUUAUCCGGAUUUAUUGGGUGUAAAGGGUGUGUAGGCGGGAAAGCAAGUCAGAUGUGAAAACUCAGGGCUCAACCCUGAGACUGCAUUUGACACUGUUUUUCUUGAGUGCAGGAGAGGUAAUCGGAAUUCCGGGUGUAGCGGUGAAAUGCGUAGAUAUACGGAGGAACACCAGUGGCGAAGGCGGAUUGCUAGACAGUAACUGACGCUGAGGCGCGAAAGCGUGGGGAGCAAACAGGAUUAGAUACCCCUGUAGUC
rnacentral:rRNA from 1 species